rnacentral:rRNA from 1 species
GAUGAACGCUAGCGGCAGGCCUAACACAUGCAAGUCGAGGGAGGAGCCUUCGGGCUUCGACCGGCGUACGGGUGCGUAACGCGUAUACAAUCUGCCUUUCACAUAGGGAUAGCCCGAAGAAAUUUGGAUUAAUACCUAAUGGUAUAUAGAUGUGGCAUCACCUUUAUAUUAAAGCUGAGGCGGUGAAAGAUGAGUAUGCGUUCUAUUAGCUAGUUGGAGAGGUAACGGCUCCCCAAGGCGACGAUAGAUAGGGGUUCUGAGAGGGAUAUCCCCCACACUGGUACUGAGAUACGGACCAGACUCCUACGGGAGGCAGCAGUGAGGAAUAUUGGACAAUGGUCGGAAGACUGAUCCAGCCAUGCCGCGUGCAGGAAGACGGCCUUAUGGGUUGUAAACUGCUUUUGCAGGGGAAGAAUAAGGACUACGCGUAGUUUGAUGACGGUACUCUGCGAAUAAGCAUCGGCUAACUCCGUG